CGAAUGAAUAACUCUAACAUUAAUUUAGAGUGGUUAUAUCUUUUAUUAGCGAGCAAAAAUGGAUCCAAUUUAGACACCCAUAAAAUACAAUGCCCCGGGCAUGAUCUACCUCAAUAAGCCACAAGAGUCGUAAUUUUCUUUUCGUUUGGUGCGUUCCCAAUAAUUUUUCACAGGCUUUCUUGAUAUUUCAAGAAUACUUCUGGAACUAGCCUAGCAUGAAAUUGCUGCCGAUCCAAAGACGUUGUUAGUUCCCUGUCUAUUUGCUCCUGAAAAAUAUCAACCGAUACCGAAUGGGAGUUGCAUGCAGACGUGUUCGCAGUCGAUUCUCUCGUGGUGUGUGUGUGUCUGUGUGUGUGUGUGUAUGUGUGAAUGCGUGUGUAUUGCAGCUAACACUUGGUGUUUGGUUCAAAUGUUCGUUUUCACGAAAAUCUGUUUCUCUCGGACGAGCGCGCGAAAUCCUAAUUAAACGGCAGCUCGUAUGUUGUGUGCUACGAUGAAUCCCUUCCGUACGUACAAGCUUAAUCCCGAUGAAACGCCGAUAAUAUCGAUCGGAUUGGCGCCCCAUGCUAUAGGCUGUCGAGUUAAUUAAAUUAAAAUACUGGUAUAAUGGCUCGCCAGAUGGCUCAACCAGAAAUACAACCUGGUGGUGAGAAGGGGUUCGAGCACCAGAAAGGGGCACGGGGGAUUCAAUCUCUGAUGUAGCUGAACGCAGCGGGCGCCGGCUAUGAGCAUGUUAUACGUAACUCGUUUAGCGUCGCAGGUUUGAAAAAAAAUCGACGUGAAUGUGUGGAAAUCUUGCUGUUCGUUUUCUUUCUCAUUUUAUUUUUUGGCAAAUGUAUUUAAGGACCCUCCGGUAAAAAUUGAAUCCAUCUACUGAAGCUUUUACGUGUAUGAAUGUCGUUGAAAUAUAUGAGGAUAUAUCAUGCUGGUGUCGACCGAAUAUAUUUAGUAUGAAAAGAAAGUGGAGAGCAAUUUAAAUCCAUUGGCUAGUGCUAUAAUAACAAAAAUCUAUUCCGAUCAGAAAUUUUUCUAUGAUUUGGUUUCGAUCACAUCGUGCGUAAGAAGGACGCUAAUAUUCGGAGCCAUUUGUUUACGAUCAUAAACAUCUUCCGUGGUGAUCGCACUGCAUCAUUUUUUCGAUGUACUUUAAUUUAUUUGCUCUCAUGCAUGAUCGAUAGAGUCGCGGAAUUCAUAAUAUUGAGGUGUUGCAGUUUCGAUUUGUAAUUACCUAUCUGCGCGUUAGAAUGAUCAUUGCGCUAUGGUUAUUUACUUUCAUUGGAUGGAUCGGAGGGGAAGAAAAGCUCUGAAACCGCAGUUUAACAUCCCGUAAGCCUAAGGCUGGUCGUUAGCGACGUUGUUGCAGCAUAUGCGCUGGGCAGCCUCCAUAUGGGGCAUCAUGGACCGAAAUCCACAGCCCCUGGCCUACAGGCCGGAGGAGGGAGGGGCACGAAAACUGGAACUGGGUACCACAGUGGAACGAGUGAUCCAUGCUAUUUGUGAGGGGAACUCUAAAAUUCAUGUCAUUGCUCAACGUAGCCGAGAUUUUUAUCUCAAAAAUGUCCGGUUAACUUUUCGUUAAAGCUCUAUCAACAUUUUUUUUGUCUAUACGAAACUAUAGAUCUCUCAUUAAAACCAAUAUUUCGAUGAGAAUCAGCAGAGAAUGGUAAAUAAAGUCAUUCCUUUUUUGGCCAUGAAACGAAUUCCAAAGUUUUCCAAAGUCCGAAUAAUCUGUAUCACAUAAAAAUACUAGGUUCUUUACAUUGACGCGUCUCAAAAGGAGUUAAAGCACCAAGUAAUAUAAGCAAUUCUGCCUUAAGCAGCGUAUGAGAACGAGAGACUUUGAACCCCGCAUUAAAUGGAGUAUAACUACUUUCGAAUAGCAUUCAUGCAACUGAGCUUUGCGGUCAAUGGCGUCUUUAAAUGCGACCAUAUGAUACGGAGGGUCGAAAAAAAAUGUGAUUGAUGUUACAUACUCAUAUGCGUAUUGUCACUGCGUACACAGAGUUGCGGGUAUGGCCCGUGCGCGUGUCUGUGUACGUACAUAUGCACGGAUGAACGAUCAACUACGGGGACCGUCACCAGAAUCUGUAUCACGAAUCGCUCUAUCAGCAAGUGCACGUAUAUAGGGUGCACCAUACGCACUAUGCUGAAUGGGAAGAGAGAACGAGAGAGAGAGAGAGAGAGAGAAAAAUGGAAAGAGAAAGACAUGGAUAGACGUCAUGGAGAGUGCAUGGGCAGUGAGCAGGUUGACUAGCUUUGUCCAUGCUCGAUGAUGACGAUGGGGUCGGGCCUUGGCACAGAUGGGCCGCUAAUCUCAUUGAAAACUUAUGAGGACUCUCGGGGGGUCGUGCUAGUUCAGCUAUAGGCUGUAGUAAGCAAUAGAGAAAGAGCCCCGAGAGCUCCGCUGCUAAGAUUUUGGCAGCGUGAGCGCGCAGUGUACAUGUCUUUCCAUAGGGGCUAAGUACCGUGCCAACCACCAUAUGUCCUACGUAUAUGCAUACAUGCGAGGCCUGCAUGUUAUAUCGAACUGAAAACGAGGCUAUAAAUUCAUCAGCGUUUUCCCCAUCCAUUCUUUCUCCUUUCGUAUUUUUCGCUUACGUUUCUGCUAAGCUUGUGACGGGUGCGUGGGUACUGACUAUUUUUGACAUCAGGGUGAUGGAUUGGAAGACUCUGAAACAAUCUCUUCCCUAUAAUCACACAACCCAUGAAUUUGAACUUUGAAUAUUAUCUUCUGAGCAUACUGUAAACAAAAGGAUUAAAAAGACUUGAACCAUAGUAAGUUGGGUCACGCUGUAUGUACAUGGCACGCGCCGUCCGCCACGUCCAUUUGUGUUUCCCGGAAUCUCUAUAAUUACGGUUAUAAUAACAGGAGUCUCUAGCUGUAUAUUCAUAUUUAAGUCCGUUAUGUGGCAGCGAAGCUCUCGUGCCACCAUUAAGAUCACCGUAGCAUAACUUCGUCGCGGGGUGUACCAACGAGAACGAGAGAACACGCGGCGAGCUUUCCCAUGCAUAUUCCCUCCCGUUUAACGAAUACGGGGGCCACCGCGCCAAGUGCCGAGAAGAUGCAGGGACUUGGCAGUCGGUGAGAUAGAGAAGGACAAGUUUAAGCAGCGCAAGAGAAAAGGAUUCGGAGAAGGAGACGGAGUCGAAGGGAGGAGCCACACAGAAGCAUACAACGCGGGGGCACAUGUGUACGACCGGGCAUACGGGGUUGCUUUACGAGCGGACAACUAAGGUAUGUUCUUGGUAUACGUUCGCCUCUGUUUCACCUCUCUCCAUAGCGCACUUACCUACGAGAUAAAGAGGAAUGAAGAAAACACCGGAAUAGUAUUAUACAAACAUUGCUCGAAAUUCUGCGCUCGCUUCUGCAUCUCGUCCCACGCCGACCCAGAGGGUCUCGAUCUUCUUCUUCUUGUUCGUAAUUUGCCUCUCUCGUGGGCAGAGUUCUUCGUUACGCGAGCGUUUCUCUGCAACGGCCGACGGAUUUUACGUCCGAGGAUCUCUCAGCUGCAUCCACCGUGACCGAGGCGCUCACUGGGCUCUUCGUUCCGACUCUCUACCCUCCUCUUGCCUCUCCGAAAUUCCACUUCAGCUAUCACUAUAUACUCGAGGAACGAGGCAAGACCCCUUCUGCUCUCUCGACGAAUACUCUGGUCGGUCAAAAGAUUUUGCAGCUUCGUUCCAGUGGCUCUUUCCUACGCGUGCGUGUGCGAGGUGCUACGAAUGGGUAGGAGGCAUUCUGUACAGCAUCCGCCAAUCAUCAGAGGCGCAGUGAAACCCGAUAACACGUGCCAUAUGUUUGUGCACGAACUCAAAUAUGUUCCGUGGCCGUGAUGCGAUCGAUGAUGACUCCUUGCAUCAAACAACGGACUUGGAGGUUUUCGAGCAUCUAUGUACUGCUUAAUCUAUACAUAGACCCACCGCUCCUGAGAACAUUGGACACGAGGUUAUUAACAUAUGUGAACUCUGACAUUGAACGCUUGAAAUAUUGAGCAGGAUCUGUGACUCUGUAAUCUCACGAACUUGAAUUUCGAUGCACGAUUUGGGUUGCCGCAUAUACAAACUUAUUGUUAGCGUACUUAUAAACGUAGGUGGAAUUGUACUUGCACUGAAAUUUACCAUAACCAGAUGGACUGCACACAGAACAUGUCCCAGAGCUUUGGGUCGCUGAGGAAAUCACAGGUGUUGGAAAGCUUCGAAUAAAGUUGAAUCUGUCGAAAGCUCAACACCGGAAAGCAGACAAAUUACUAAGAGAGAAGGAACGAGACAGCCUGCAGGGAGACGGACUUGAUCCAGCCACAUCGAUGUCUCUAAGGAAUAUUGGAAGAGAGAAUCAAAGUCACAUCUGCGAGAAACGCCGGGAGGACGUCUCGAUGCUCCAGGCUCGAGAUUCGCGUUAAGAUUGAUGACGCGACACUCUUACUCUUGGUUUUCGAUCUUUUCUCAUCCUUACCCGCAUACGAAACAGAUGAACGAAGGAAGAUCCGUUUUAUUCUGAAACGGCUCUAGAGAAAUGGCACAAGUGUUUACAAACAGAAGGAGAAGGAAGAUCUGAUAGUCUACGUAUCAGGGCUGGACAGAGUAAGAACCGGGAUAUCCCCAGUUGUAGUUUCAUACAAAAGCAAGUACAUGGUGUUUUCCCAUGACAAGUAUUUCGUGAUAAUUCUACUCACCAGCGUCUCUGCUUUCUGAUAAAUUUUAACCUCACUUUGGGUAUUACGGAUCAGUCGUUUAUCCAACAAUAAGCAAGUUCGAUAAGAACGAUCAUUUGUACUAAUAUUGUAGAAGAAAACGAACGAAUCCUUUCCAACUUUUUUGCUGUUUUUUCUUCGCAUAAUCGACAGGAUGUCGAGGCUACUGUCGAGAAUAUGCGGAACAAUCGGGUUCGCGGAUACUGCAGAAUUGCAAGCGAAUAUACAAAAAGAAUAAGAUUACAAAGAUGCUGAUAUAACAGAAGAAGGACGCGGAGAUCGAACGAGCGGAGCAAGAUCCUGUGGCAUCGUUCAUCAUUUUACGGAGAACGUUUCCCGGUCCAGAAUCUCCUCUCACGGGUAGAAAAGCUCCCUUUCUGUUACUCCGGAGGGUAUCGCACAAGAAAGACGAUAUGCGAUAGUGAAUAGAAGAGAAAGAAAAAGAGCCGAGUAGUGCUUGCGCGCGGGGUAACACGGUAGACUUUCCUCCCGAGAAACAGAGAACGAUCUGCAUAGCAAGAGACGGCAUCUCGCGACGAGCGAGCUAAGUGCGGGAUUAUGCAAAGCAGCGGCCAUACAGUAUAAAAAUACGGAGCGACUCCGCGCCAUCUUUUCCGGACCAUUCUAAUAACUUGCCACAAGCCGGCGAAUUCCUCGCUCGUGGCUACGACGCCAUAUCCUCAUGCUGCUUCACUUCCCCUCCUCCCUUUCCCGUUUCCUGAAUUCUGUGUAUAUAUUCGUCGAACGAGUCAGGAGCCCUCUUCGCUAUAUUCUACCGCACGAUACGUACACACGAGGCAUCCCACGCUCGUACGAAAAAAUCGAAAAAAAAAAACUUCCAAAACCGCAUCAAUUUUUUU